UACGUAGGGUGCAAGCGUUAAUCGGAAUUACUGGGCGUAAAGCGUGCGCAGGCGGUUUUGUAAGUCUGACGUGAAAUCCCCGGGCUUAACCUGGGAAUUGCGUUGGAGACUGCAAGGCUGGAAUCUGGCAGAGGGGGGUAGAAUUCCACGUGUAGCAGUGAAAUGCGUAGAGAUCCGGAGGAACACCAGUGGCGAAGGCGACACGCUGGGCCGUACCUGACACUGAUGCGCGACAGCAUGGGGAGCAAACAGG
rnacentral:rRNA from 1 species